rnacentral:rRNA from 1 species
CCUACGGGUGGCAGCAGUGAGGAAUAUUGGUCAAUGGGCGCAAGCCUGAACCAGCCAAGUCGCGUGAGGGAAGACGGCCCUAUGGAUUGUAAACCUCUUUUGUCGGGGAGCAAAAGACGCCACGCGUGGCGUUUCGAGAGUACCCGAAGAAAAAGCAUCGGCUAACUCCGUGCCAGCAGCCGCGGUAAUACGGAGGAUGCGAGCGUUAUCCGGAUUUAUUGGGUUUAAAGGGUGCGAAGGCGGAAGAUCAAGUCAGCGGUAAAAUUGAGGGGCUCAACCUCGUCGAGCCGUUGAAACUGGUUUUCUUGAGUGAGCGAGACGUAUGCGGAAUGCGUGGUGUAGCGGUGAAAUGCAUAGAUAGCACGCAGAACUCCGAUUGCGAAGGCAGCAUACCGGCGCUCAACUGACGCUCAUGCACGAAAGUGUGGGUAUCGAACAGGAUUAGAUACCCCUGUAGUC